rnacentral:rRNA from 1 species
ACGAAGGUGGCGAGCGUUGUUCGGAUUUACUGGGCGUAAAGAGCACGUAGGCGGUUGGGUAAGCCUCUUGGGAAAUCUUCCGGCUUAACCGGGAAAGUUCGAGAGGAACUACUCAGCUAGAGGACGGGAGAGGAGCGCGGAAUUCCCGGUGUAGCGGUGAAAUGCGUAGAUAUCGGGAAGAAGGCCGGUGGCGAAGGCGGCGCUCUGGAACGUACCUGACGCUGAGGUGCGAAAGCGUGGGGAGCAAACAG